rnacentral:rRNA from 1 species
UACAGAGGUGGCAAGCGUUGUUCGGAAUUACUGGGCGUAAAGGGCGCGUAGGCGGCUUGGUCAGUCCCGUGUGAAAUCCCUCGGCUCAACUGAGGAACUGCACGGGAAACUGCCUGGCUUGAGUUCGGGAGAGGGAAGCGGAAUUCCGGGUGUAGCGGUGAAAUGCGUAGAUAUCGAGAGGAACACCUGCGGCGAAGGCGGGUUGCUGGGCUGACACUGACGCUGAGGCGCGAAAGCUAGGGGAGCGAACGGG